GGUCCCUUAGCUCAGUUGGUUAGAGCGUGGUGCUAAUAUCGAUGUUACUAUAUUGAUAGUAUUGUAACGCCAAGGUCGCAGGUUCGACCCCUGCAGGGACCA